GGAAUUUAGCUCAGUGGUAGAGUGCUUGCCUAGCAAGCGCAAGGCCCUGGGUUCGAUCCCCAGCUCCG
rnacentral:tRNA from 1 species